rnacentral:rRNA from 1 species
GGCGAGUGGCGAACGGGUGAGUAAUAUAUCGGAACGUACCCUGGAGUGGGGGAUAACGUAGCGAAAGUUACGCUAAUACCGCAUACGAUCUAAGGAUGAAAGCAGGGGACCGCAAGGCCUUGUGCUCCUGGAGCGGCCGAUAUCUGAUUAGCUAGUUGGUGGGGUAAAGGCCUACCAAGGCAUCGAUCAGUAGCUGGUCUGAGAGGACGACCAGCCACACUGGAACUGAGACACGGUCCAGACUCCUACGGGAGGCAGCAGUGGGGAAUUUUGGACAAUGGGCGCAAGCCUGAUCCAGCAAUGCCGCGUGAGUGAAGAAAGGCCUUCGGGUUGUAAAGCUCUUUUGUCAGGGAAGAAACGGGUGGAGCUAAUAUCUCUGCCUAAUGACGGUACCUGAAGAAUAAGCACCGGCUAACUACGUGCCAGCAGCCGCGGUAAUACGUAGGGUGCAAGCGUUAAUCGGAAUUACUGGGCGUAAAGCGUGCGCAGGCGGUUUUGUAAGUCUGUCGUGAAAUCCCCGGGCUCAACCUGGGAACNUGCGAUGGAGACUGCAAGGCUAGAAUCUGGCAGAGGGGGGUAGAAUUCCACGUGUAGCAGUGAAAUGCGUAGAGAUGUGGAGGAACACCGAUGGCGAAGGCAGCCCCCUGGGUCAAGAUUGACGCUCAUGCACGAAAGCGUGGGGAGCAAACAGGAUUAGAUACCCUGGUAGUCCACGCCCUAAACGAUGUCUACUAGUUGUCGGGUCUUAAUUGACUUGGUAACGCAGCUAACGCGUGAAGUAGACCGCCUGGGGAGUACGGUCGCAAGAUUAAAACUCAAAGGAAUUGACGGGGACCCGCACAAGCGGUGGAUGAUGUGGAUUAAUUCGAUGCAACGCGAAAAACCUUACCUACCCUUGACAUGUACGGAAGCCACGAGAGAUCGAGGUGUGCUCGAAAGAGAGCCGUAACACAGGUGCUGCAUGGCUGUCGUCAGCUCGUGUCGUGAGAUGUUGGGUUAAGUCCCGCAACGAGCGCAACCCUUGUCAUUAGUUGCUACGAAAGAGCACUCUAAUGAGACUGCCGGUGACAAACCGGAGGAAGGUGGGGAUGACGUCAAGUCCUCAUGGCCCUUAUGGGUAGGGCUUCACACGUCAUACAAUGGUACAUACAGAGGGCCGCCAACCCGCGAGGGGGAGCUAAUCCCAGAAAGUGUAUCGUAGUCCGGAUUGUAGUCUGCAACUCGACUACAUGAAGUUGGAAUCGCUAGUAAUCGCGGAUCAGCAUGUCGCGGUGAAUACGUUCCCGGGUCUUGUACACACCGCCCGUCACACCAUGGGAGCGGGUUUUACCAGAAGUAGGUAGCUUAACCGCAAGGGGGGCGCUUACCACGGUAGGAUUCGUGACUGGGGUG